AUUGAACGCUGGCGGCAGGCCUAACACAUGCAAGUCGAACGAGUGGCGCACGGGUGAGUCAUGUCUGUGACACUGCCUUAUGGAUGGGGAUAACUACUGGAAAUGGUAGCUAAUACCGCAUACCAUCAGAUGUGCCCCGCUGGGAUUAGCUUGGUGGUGGGGUAACGGCUCACCAAGGCGACGAUCCCUAGCUGGUCUGAGAGGAUGACCAGCCACACGGGAACUGAGACACGGUCCAGACUCCUACGGGAGGCAGCAGUGGGGAAUAUUGCACAAUGGGCGAAAGCCUGAUGCAGCCAUGCCGCGUGUAUGAAGAAGGCCUUCGGGUUGUAAAGUACUUUCAGCGGGGAGGCGUUACCCGAAGAAGAAGCACCGGCUAACUCCGUGCCAGCCGCCGCGGUAAUAC
rnacentral:rRNA from 1 species